rnacentral:lncRNA from 1 species
GGCUGCUGCAGUAGCCUGGGCGGGUCCAGGCGUCUGCCCUAAAGGCGUGGGGGGCUCGUCACCCCCUCCAAGGCUUGUCCCCGCUCUCGGGCCGCCGCGGUCACUGCAGCUUCGGACAGCGGCCGGGUAGGACGGCUCCGAGAAUGAAAAUGUGGUUCUUUGAGUGGAUGGUCUCGUUGAUCCUCGCAACUAUGCUUUGCCAUCAGCCCAGAGGGAAGCUGACAACUGUGAAUCCUGAAGCAUAUAUGAAUGUGGUAAGUUCAAAGUAACCUGCUUUAUAACGCCUUUGUGACAAGCGUUUUUUCCUUAAAUCCAUUUG